rnacentral:rRNA from 1 species
UCAUGGGCGCAGCCUGAACCAGCCAAGUAGCGUGAAGGAUGACUGCCCUANNGGUUGUAAACUUCUUUUAUAAAGGAAUAAAGUCGGGUAUGUAUACCCGUUUGCAUGUACUUUAUGAAUAAGGAUCGGCUAACUCCGUGCCAGCAGCCGCGGUAAUACGGAGGAUCCGAGCGUUAUCCGGAUUUAUUGGGUUUAAAGGGUGCGUAGGCGGCCUUUUAAGUCAGCGGUGAAAGUCUGUGGCUCAACCAUAGAAUUGCCGUUGAAACUGGGGGGCUUGAGUAUGUUUGAGGCAGGCGGAAUGCGUGGUGUAGCGGUGAAAUGCUUAGAUAUCACGCAGAACCCCGAUUGCGAAGGCAGCCUGCCAAGCCAUGACUGACGCUGAUGCACGAAAGCGUGGGGAUCAAACAGGAUUAGAUACCCUGGUAGUCCAAGGGCGAAUUC